UACGUAGGGUGCAAGCGUUGUCCGGAAUUAUUGGGCGUAAAGAGCUCGUAGGCGGUUUGUCGCGUCUGCUGUGAAAACCUGGGGCUUAACCCUGGGCCUGCAGUGGGUACGGGCAGACUAGAGUGCGGUAGGGGAGACUGGAAUUCCUGGUGUAGCGGUGAAAUGCGCAGAUAUCAGGAGGAACACCGGUGGCGAAGGCGGGUCUCUGGGACGGUACUGACGCUGAGACGCGAAAGCGUGGGGAGCGAACAGG
rnacentral:rRNA from 1 species